AACGCGAAGAACCUUACCUGGGCUCGAAAUGUAGUGGACUGGGGUAGAAAUAUCCCUUUCUCGCAAGAGACUGCUAUAUAGGUGCUGCAUGGCUGUCGUCAGCUCGUGUCGUGAGAUGUUGGGUUAAGUCCCGCAACGAGCGCAACCCUUAUCCCUAGUUGCCACCGGGUAAUGCCGAGCUACACUAGUGAAACUGCCUGGGAUAACCAGGAGGAAGGUGGGGAUGACGUCAAGUCCUCAUGGCCUUUAUGUCCAGGGCUACACACGUGCUACAAUGGUCGGUACAAACCGUCGCAAACCCGCGAGGGGAAGCUAAUCGGAAAAAGCCGGCCUCAGUUCGGAUUGGAGUCUGCAACUCGACUCCAUGAAGCUGGAAUCGCUAGUAAUCGCGGAUCAGAACGCCGCGGUGAAUACGUUCCCGGGCCUUGUACACACCGGCUAC
rnacentral:rRNA from 1 species